ACUCCUACGGGAGGCAGCAGUGGGGAAUAUUGCACAAUGGGGGAAACCCUGAUGCAGCCAUGCCGCGUGUGUGAAGAAGGCCUUGGGUUGUAAAGCACUUUCAGUAGGGAGGAAGGUAGUGUAGUUAACACCUGCACUAUUUGUACGUUACCUACAGAAGAAGCACCGGCUAACUCCGUGCCAGCAGCCGCGGUAAUACGGAGGGUGCGAGCGUUAAUCGGAAUUACUGGGCGUAAAGCGCAUGCAGGCGGCCUGUUAAGUCAGAUGUGAAAGCCCGGGGCUUAACCUCGGAAUUGCAUUUGAAACUGGCAGGCUAGAGUCUUGUAGAGGGGUUAG
rnacentral:rRNA from 1 species